GAUCAUUCCUCCUGGUCAGGCAUUAAUGUGGGCAUGCAAUCCUUCAUUAAUCCAAAGUCAUGUACGAAACACUAGCUUGUUAGGAGACGAAAAUCAGUGAAUGAACCAGAUUUCAGCCAAGACCAUUAAGAAAUUUUAUUCUUGAGAGGGUACAGAUUUUUCAGAUGGACUUUGCUAAAAAAUUUUAGGAUGAUUUACGUUUCUCCGAAGGUAGUGUAAUGCGUUUUGAUUGUAAAUCUGAACACAAUCUCCUUAGUUUGCAAUGAUUGGUGUUUACUUGUUUUAAUGUGAAUACUUUCAACAUCCAAGUGCUCUUGGGUUUGUAAACGAGAAAUUUCAAUUCAAACCGAAGCUUUUGAUAGUGAUUUCAGAGCCCUUGAUUUGCAGGUGAUCAUAGUCUCAAAUCAA